UAUAUAUAUAUAUAUCACACACACACCAAUUUAACAAAGUUUCAGCCACAAAAACAAAGUUUCUGAAGUAGAACAAUGACUUUCACAGUAAAGACAACCCAAUUUAACAGGAAAUAAGACUUUCAAACCAGGAACAGAUUUCUGCAAUUAUUAAAAAAUGGUUUAUUAUAAAAGCUAUGAAAAUUCGCCAAAAAUCAGAGGAUAAGGGAAACGUUCCAAAUUUUGGUGAGCUAUCAGUGUUAAAUGUGUUCUACCACUGUACCAAGUUUGAAGAAGAUCACUCAAAAAAUGAGGGCGGGAGAGUCCUGUAAAAUCUCCCCUCAUGCUGUUUUUUUUGGCAUGCGCGUCCACCAUUAACGAAUUACUUUUGAAACUAACGAAUUUUCGUUAAUUUCGAAUUUUUUGGGGGGCAAAAUUCGGAAAUGACAUCAGAAACGAAACGCUGGCGCCCCCUACUUUUGAAACGAGUUUAGAAUCAAUUUUUUCAUGGAUCGCUCAAGCCUAGUAUAUACUUAAAUAAUUUAGCAUUUUCCUCCCCCUACUAAACAAAACUUUUAUUUGGAUUAACAACAGAUUCUGAUCUCGUGCCUUGCUUUUUAAAAAAAUCUCGUUAUUAUACUUGCAGUAUGAAUCAGCUCAUCUAUGUGCCUUCACUAGAACAAGUCAAGGUAUUUGGACCUUCCUUUUUUGGUUUAUAGAAGCCACUAUCCAUCUCUCUUGAAACAAGCAGGUUCCACUUAAUAUAAUGAAACAUAUGUCACUCUUUUUCUUUUAUAAACAGCAUUAGAUAUUUCCAUUAAAGCACAAACAAAAUAAUUACAAAGACAGAGAACUAGCAUGAUAUAAUGUGGUCAGCAUUAUACAGUGGUUUUGAGUGCUGAAAUAAAACUUCAAGAUACUAAGGUUCAAGUCCCCAUACAGCCAUGGAAGUCAUACUUUGUCAGUCCUCAAGAAAGGCAAUGUCAAUCCUCUUCUAAAUAAAUCUUGCUAAGAAAACCCUAUCGUUGGCCUGCCGAAAAUUGGAGUUGAUUUGAAGACACACAACAACAACAACAACAACAACAACAACAACAACUGAUACAAUGGUUGCUUUGUGUGUCAAGUUUGAAAAGUCUCAGAUUCAGAGCUUGAUAAAGUUACUUUUCUGGAUUUCUGAUCUUAGAACUCUCCUUAGACUAUUGUAUCAUUCGUGGUUUUUAUGUGGGAGCCACACAGAUAACGAUGGCCGCCUUGGAAAAAAGGCAAGACGGAAAUAUAAACCACAAAUAGCCACCAUUGCCACUACAUUCAGUCUUGAAAGAGUGAUUUUCUGAGCAGCCCCAUCAUUGCAGAGUUGAGGUUACUAGAAAGGCAUUUGCUCGACAUGCGCUCCUUUUCCACCUCAAAGCAGGCUUUAGGUAAUUGCUGUUUGCCAUUUAGCUCCGCGCCUGGUACUAAUUUUUCCGUUUGUCAUCCUUUGACUCACAGGAACUCUUUUCUCUCUGAAAAGGAUGUAUCUCCCAGCUGACCAUGGAAAAAAUGUAACAUGUAAUUCAUUGCUUUCCUGAUAGCACUGAAGAUGAGAAGUGGGCAAGUUAGAAAAACUUGAUGAGGAAGUCCUGUCAUUUCCAAAAGGAAGCAUGAUUCACUUUUCAGGGCAUUUUUGGGAGACUGAAUCAGAGCUGUCGAGGAAGUGAAUUCUUGGACAGCUUAGCCUAAAACAUCAUGUGGCUUGGGGCUUAACGGUGACUUUUCCAGCAAGCAUUUGUGACUUUCCCUUGUGCCGAGAGUAAGUCAUAAACUCAGAUUACAAGCAUGAUCAAGGAGAGAAGAGCGAGAGAAGCAGUGUAGAACGAAUAGAAAUUACCAGUAUUAGCUAUUUAAGAAAACCCAACAGUACUCAUUUUGAUGAGUACUGAAAAGGCAAGUAAAACAGAGAACCAAGUGAAAUAUUUCUCUAUUAUAGCUGCUAAAAAGAGCAUAUUAGAUAACAAAGACCUAGAUGAGGAAGAAAAUCUCAAAGCUUGGUAGCAUUACUUUUCUUACAACUCCCAUAAUUCUGGCCAUGCAAGCUGUGGGAUUCUGGGCACUACAAUCUGGAAGAAAGGAGACCUUAACUUUUGGCAAAUUUAGAAACAUUUUGCAAACAUUUAUAGACCGAGCCUGUACAAAAAAGUCUUGGUCUGCAUUGAAAAUCUGGAAAAUUGAUUAGCAUUCUUUUACUUGUUUUAAUUCCCUUUUAAAAGUUUUUUGGUCUUUUCCAUUUUGGUCUUUUCCACAUGACAGUAUGGCAUAUAUUUAUUAUGGAGAAGUGACAAAUGCCUCUUCGCUACACCAAAUACCAAUUCAUUUACUUUCAUAUAUUCCUGAGACUAAGUUCUGAUAGUAGCCAGGGUCCCCAUACCCUCCAUUAUUUCACAGGUGAAAACUGUGGAGAGGAGCCAAAGCAGAAUGUGGCCAAAAGGGCAUAGACAAAUAACAAGAGGGAAAUGUUAUUAUUAAGGAAGAACAAAAAGUACUCCUGGCAACGACAAAAUGCUGGGUCGAGGGGUAUACCCAAACUGUGGGCAUACUCUAUAUCUUUGUUGGAAAUUGAACCCCAUCUAACCCAAAUUGAAUCUCUGUUCCCCGGGCUGACUUCUGAUUGCCUUGUUUGGAUUAUGUUUCAAUUUGUUCAUCUACAUCCCAUCCAUUACUGACGACAAGCAAUGGUUUCAAAUGGAAAAUUUGGUGCCAGAGGAGGAAUACCAUAGAAACAAUAGGGAUAGAUUCCUGCAUCAUAAAAAGAAAAGCUGUUCAACAUGUUUUUGCCAACUUUUUAUUCAAAACUAACAAUAUGCACAAAUGAAAUGAAACAACCAGGUCAUGUAAGGUUAACAUAAACAAAAGCAUUAUGACACUUCUAAAGACCGCUUGAAAACCCCUUCAAAAAUGCAGGGUUGUUGGUUUUUUGUUUGUUUGUUUGUUUUUUGGUUUUGCUCUUCUCCAUUUUUCACAUUUCCAUUUGUGUAGCCAGAGGUUUUGUUAAUUGAGGUAUGCCUGCAAUAGAAAUCCAUUCCUCAUGAUUUCCCAAGAAGUGACUGUCUUUUCCCUAAAUUCCUCCAAGUGAGUGAGAGCCUUUCCAAAUAUCAAUAGUUGGUUCCCUGGUGAAACUGCUCUUAAUCUGAAUUUUCUCCUAAUGUUCAUCUAAAAUAUGUGGGUCUGUCUUUAUGUUGGCUGUUGACUUUUGGCAACCCCGUGAGAUUCAUAGGGUUUUCUUAAACAAGGACAGUUCAGAGAUAUUCCCUUGUUGAUUCCUUUCUCUAAAAUAUAGCCUACACUACCAGGUAUUAGUUGGUGGUCUCCCACCCAAUCACAAACCAGGGCUUACCCUGUUUAGCUUUCAAGGUGGGAUAGGAUCUGGCGUCUACAGGGUAUUUAGGUCUCAUACCCACUUGCAAUUUAAAAUUAUUCCUUCCUUCUUGUUGGCAGAACAAGUCUGCUGUCUUCUGUAUGACAGUCCCUCAGGCAUUUGAAAUAUUGUAUUGGUAUCUCCCCUAAUGCUUCUGCUUUUCUCCAGGCUAAAGGUAUGUAACUCUUCUACCUUUCCACGUGAAACGUGAGUGCACUUCCAUAACAGGUCUAAGUAAUAUCAAGUAAAGUAGAACUGUUACUGCUGGUGACAUUAAUACUAUUAAGACAAAAAUGCAUUUCCUUUUUUACAGCUCUAUCACAUUGUCAAAUCCUAUUCAGCUUCUGAUAAUAAAAAACAGUCCCAAAAAUAUGUUUGCAUAUGUGAGCUUUUGAGCAGGUCAGGUGUUCCUCAUUUUAUACCCAUGUACUUGAAUGCUCCCAAAUGACCGGUUUGUUGAAUUUGAUUGUGUUGAUCUGAGUUUAUUUUAAAUUUUGAUUUUUAUGCCUGAAGUGUUCAUAAUUCAUCCCUGUUUUGUGUCACUUGCAAAUCUGAUAAUGAGUCCAGAUUCCUCAGUUAUUCUUUGCUCCAUUUUCUGGAUCAUGGCAACGGGAGAGGGAGUAGACCCCAUAAGCCCUCCAUUGAUGAAGGAUCAUAGGAUUUCAGAAGGAUCCCCCGGUAGCACAAUGGGUUAAACCCUUGUGCCGGCAGGACUGCUGACCAACAGAUUCAGCAGUUCAAGUCCAGGGAGGACGGGUGAGCUCCCUCUGUCAGCUCAAGCUCCCCAUGUGGGGACAUGAGAGAAGCCUCCCACAAAGAUGGUAAAAUAUCAAACUUCUGGGCAUCCCCUGGACAAUGCCCUUGCAGACGGCCAAUUCUCUCACAUCAGAAGUGACUUGCAGUUUCUCAGGUUGCUCCAGACACACAAAAAAGGAUUUCAGAACUAGAAGGGGCCACAAGAACCACCUAAUUCAACUCCCUGCCAUAUAGAAAUACAUGACUAAAGCACUCUUGAAAGAUGUCCACCCAACUUUUGUUUAAAGACCUCCAAAGUUAAAGAAUCCAUAAUCUUAAAAUUCUUUUUUUAUAAUUUGAAUCCAUCAAAUCCUCGAGCAGCAAAGAAACCAGCUUGCUCUGUCUUCGACAUGACAACCUUUCAGAUAUUUACCGGUGGUUAACAUGCCACUUAGACUCUUCUCUUCUCUAAGGUAAACAUAUCCAGCUUCCUCAGUCAUGCUUCAUAAUGCUUAAUUUCCAAACUUUUGAUCAUCUUAUUCACCUUUUUCUGGGCACAUUCCAGCUUCUUGAACUGUAGUGACUCAAACUGGACAUAAUAUUCGAAUUGAGAUCUGACCAAGGCAGAAUACCAUGAUGGUAUUGUUUAAAAUGUUUUAAUUCUAUUUUAUAAUUCCAUUUUAAAUGUUUAUUUUAUUGUACAUUGUUUUUAAAGGCAUCAAAUUGUUGCCUAUGUGUAAAGCCACCUUGAAUCCCCUUUGGGGUUGAGAAAGGUGGGGUAGAAGUGUUGUAAAUAAAUAAAUAGUGUGACUCUACCUCCCUUGAUUGGGACAGUGUGUCGCUCAGUAAUUCCUUCAUUUUUUGGAAGUCAGCUCUCUUAAAGUCCAGAAUGCGUGUUUGACUUCUCUUAGUUUCAGCCUUCCUUUGUAUGGCAAACUGCAGGAGCACAUGGUCACUUGCCCCUAAGGAUCCGACCACUUCGACUGUAUUGAUCAGGUCUUCCACAUUUGUCAAGAUUAGAUCAAGAGUAGCCGAUCCCCUUGUUGCCUCUUCUACCUUCUGGACCAUAAAAUUGUCUGCAAGGCAAGUGAGGAAUUUGUUGGACUUUGUACUCUUGGCCAAGUUUGUUUUCCAGCAGAUAUUGGGAUAGUUGAAAUCGCCCAUGACUACUAUAUCUCUCCUUGGUGCCUGUUUAAUCCUCCUCCUCUCCAUACGCUAAGGUGCAUAGAUGUGUCUUUUACUGUUUCUUAAUGGAGAGGAGGGUGGGGGCCAUUUUUAUUUCUUUAGCGAGGGAAUUCCAGAGGCGGGGGGCGAUCAUGGAGAAGGCCCCCUUUUUCGUUUCCACCAGCUGCGCUUGUAAUGAGGGUGGGACCGAGAGCAGGGUCUACUCCACUGACCAAAGUGCCCGGGUUGGUCUAUAUAGGGAGAUGAGAUUUGAUAAAUAGCCUGGACCAUGAGAACUGUUUUGACCCACUAUGAAUUCAAUGGGCUUCAUAUAAUUUAGGAUAGCAUUCAACCAGUUUGCUAACCCAAAUAUCAAGGGCUGUCCUGUCAAUUGCGUUCCUGAAAUAAAGAUAAAUCACAUCCCCAGCACUGCCACAAAUUAAGCCUUUUCUGAAAUCAAGAUAAAUUACACCCACAACAUCCUCACAACACACACAACUAGUGACUUAAGUUUUAAAAAUACAAUAAAAAGUCAGGUUUACUCUGGGCAAAUCAAGAUGCUUAAAACUGAACAUUUCAUAAUAUGUUCAAAAGUCUUCCCUUUUGUUAAAGUCAGACUGAUUGGUCUGGAUUGGAUUCUAUUGACUUUGUACAUUGAGAAAAUAUUUGCCAGUUAUCCUGUCCUUUGGCAGUUCACCUGUUCUCCAGGUUUUCCUAGAGAUGACAGUGCAUCGUGCCCAGAUAAAUCUGUGAAAUCUCAGAUAUGAACAAAAUUUUCAGAUAAAAAGGUGUCUACUGGGCUUAAAAAUGUUGAUUGGUACAUAACCACCGAGCUACAAAUCUUACAUUUGAUGAGUGUGAAUGUUCAUGUUAUAUCGAUCCUGACAUUCAGCAGUAAAUCUCCUAAAAUGUAAUAUGUCAACAGUCAGACCUCUGAUACGAGGAGAAAUAACCAAAGCUUAAAUGCAAGUAAUAAGCUUUCCUUCCAUGUUUCUCCAGCUUGGUGCAGCAUUCUCCCAAAUGAAUGAGAACUGGGAGACCUUUCUGGACCUUUUGAAAACAUUAAUGGGACCCAUCCAAAAGUUUGCUUUUUAUGAUUGAUUGAUUUCACUUCCAAUUUAAAAUAUAGACCCAUUCAUUGCAUUAUCUUGACAGUCCAUCUUAGAAUCAUAGAAUCGUAGAGUUGGAAGAGAUCUCAUAGGCCAUCCAGUCCAACCCUCUGCCAAGAAACAGGAAAAUUGCAUUCAAAGCACCCUUGACAGAUGGCCAUCCAGCCUCUGCUUAAAAGCCUACAAAGAAGGAGCCUCCACCCCACUCCGGGGGAGAGAGUUCCAUGCUAAACAGCUCAUCUCACAGUGAGGAAGUUCUUCCUAAUGUUCAGGUUGAAUCUCCUUUCCUGUAGUUUGAAGCCAUUGUUCCAUGUCCUAGUCUCCAGGGCAGCAGAAAACAAGCUUGCUCCCUCCGCCCUAUGACUUCCUCUCACAUCUUUAUACAUAGCCUUCAUGUCUUCUCUCAGCCUUCUCUUCUGUAGACUAAACACUCCCAGCUCUUUAAGCCACUCCUCAUAGGGCUUGUUCUACAGACCCUUGAUCAUUUUAGUUGCCUCCUCUGGACACCUUCAAGCUUGUCAACAUCUCCCUUCAAUUGUGUUGCCCAGAAUGUGGUCUGACCAAGGCAGAAUAGAGGAGUAACAUGAUUUCCCUGGAUUUAUACACUAUACUCCUAUUUAUGCAGGCCAAAAUGCCAUUGGCUUUUUUUGCCACUGCAACACAUUGUAGGCUCAUGUUUAACUUGUUGUCCAUGAUAACUAUUUAUUAUUUAUUUAUUUACAGUAUUUAUAUUCCGCCCUUCUCACCCCAAAGAGGACUCAGGGCGUAUCACAAUGUACAUAUAUGGCAAACAUUCAAUGCCAUUAGACAAACAACGCACACAGACAGACAAAGAGGCUAUUUAACUUCCCAAAGAGGCUUUGUGAGGGUAUGCUUGAUUCCGGCCACAGGAGGAGCUGCUGCUUCAUCAUCCACUGUGAUGACGAGUACUUUUUUUGAUGGAGUACUUCCUCAUCUGGUGUUGUAAAUCAGUUAAAUUAGCCUCCCCGCAUAAACAGUCCCUAAAUUUUCCUACUUGACAGAUGCAACUGUCUUUUGGGUUGCUUAGGUCAACAACGAGCAGGACUAUUUUUUAUUUUAAUUGUCAGGUGCUCACUCCAACACGGGCUGGCCUCGAACUCAUGACCUCUUGGUCAUAGUGAUUUAUUGCAGCUGGCUACUAACCAGCCUGCACCACAGCCCGGCCCUCCAAGAUCUUUUUCACACGUUUUGGCCCAUCUCUCUAAUCUGUUAAGAUCAUUUUGAAUUCUGCUCCUGUCUUCUGGGGUAUUGGCUAUCAUUCCCAAUUUGGUGUUGUCUGCAAACUUGAGGAUCAUGCCGUCUAACUCUUCAUCUAAAUCAUUUAUAAAGAUGUUGAACAGAACUGGGCCCAGGAUGGAUUCCUGUGGCACUCCAUUCAUCACUUUUUUCCAGGAUGAAGAGGAAGCAUUGGUGAACCCUUUGGGUUCGUUCUCUUAACCAAUUACAGAUCCACCUAACCGUAGUUUUGCCUAGCCCACAUUAGACAGAAGGUCAUGUUGAAGGCCUUACUGAAAUCCAGAUAUGCUACAUCCACAGUGUAUCCUGCAUCAACCCAGCUUGUAACUCUUAUCGAAAAAAGAGAUCAGAUUAGUCUGGCAUGACUUGUUUUUGAUAAAUCCAUGUUAACUAUUAGUGAUGACCACAUUUGUUUCUAAGUGUUUGCAGAUAAACUUUUUAACAAUCUUUUCCAGAAUUCUGCCUGGUAUCGAUGUGUGGCUGACCAGACAGUAAUUGUUUGGGGUGUCCCUUUUUCCCUUCUGGAAGAAAGGGACCACAUUUGCCAUCCUCUUGCUGGAUGGUUCAUUUAUAUCAGGGUGAGGCAGCCAAAAGCAGGGCCCAUUCAUUGUUCUCUACAUGAAAAGGAUGGCUUCCUGGACAUGUAAAACUCUUCUAUGCAUGUUAAUUUCAUAUUCUAAUUGAUAGAAUCACUGCAGUACAACAGGUUUUUUAAAAUGAAUACACCAGAUUUCAAAACCACAUCUUAAAUAUAAUAUUAGAAACAUCAAAUUCAAGAAAUGAAAAUCUUUUGUGCAUCAGGUUUAAGAAGCGCAGAAGCAUUCUUGUAGAACAUAAUGUGAAAAUUGGCCCAUCGUGGCCAAUGGCAGCUCAAGAGUUUUAAUUUUGAGCUUCAGAAUGGUAAUGCUUGGCAGGUUAACAGAUUCAUUUUUAAAGCUUUUUAAAAAAAUGGAAACAAAACAAUUAAAGGAAAGUAGUGAUGAGGAAGGGCACUAACUUGGCAUUACUUUAUUUUGUGAUAACUCUGGAGUACAGCAUAUCCUUCUAGCCUUUCCUUUCAAUCUCGCCCAUCAGAAGAGCCAAAAUCUGUGGCCAUUUGUGUGGGAAACUUGGCAAGACUGUGAUGCAGAAGCCAAGCGAUGGAAUGUGAUUUUCCAACAGCAGCAUCUGGGCCCCGGUUAACUUCCUGACUGAUCUCCUGCCGGAGACAAGGAGCCAACCACAAUAAAUGCAGAAAGCAGUGGGAAAGAGGCUCAAAUCUUGGACACAGCAUAUAUCCUUAAAAAUAGCAAUCCAAAUCCAAAACAUGUAACUUGCAUGCAACUUCAAAACUCUGCUAGAAAAUGCAUCCUCCUGUAGAUUUGCCAUGUAGAAUAUGUCCUAGUUCAUUUUUCUACUAGUCCCAGAAAUGCAGCUGAAGACAAUAAUUUCAUUCAAGAAAUAGUUUAGCAACUUCAACACUCCAGACCCAUCCAGAUGGAUAAAAGAAUGUUUCUCUGUACUGUAUGCUCCACAUUUAUGUUCUGUAUGCUUCAUAUUUUUCAAGAUCCUGUUGUAUUUUUAUUGUAUUAUUUUCCAUACUUGUUCUCCUCAUUUUCUGAACUUUUACACUUAUUAGAAAAGCAGAAAACCCAUUCACACCCACUGAAUUAGUAUGGCUCAUAGAAAUUGUACAUUUUGGUUUCUGUGGAUGUCCUGCUUUUUGUUGAGAAGGUGUAGCUCUCAAGACUUUAGUUUUCCCUUAAGGAAAGAAUGAAGAAUGGCAAAUUAAGAGUCACGCUGCUUCCAGACAACAAUUUAUUGUGGGAUAAAAUGGGUUAAAUUAACCCAUUUUCUCCCGUGUUGCUGUCUGUAUGAGCACCCAAAAUAUUAAUAUAAUAAUAAUAUACUUCACUUAUAUUCUGCUCUAUCUCCCCAAGGGGACUCAGGGCAGAUUACAGAACACAUAUAUGGCAAACAUUCAAUGCCAUUAUACAAUUAACAAGGACAGACCAUACAUAAACAAAAAUAAAGGCUUUCCCCAUCUUUUCCAUUUCCGGCAUAUGGAGGCUGUGCUUGACUACAGCCACCGGGGGGGGGGGGGGGGGUGCUGUGUAUAUAUUAUUAUUGGUUUUGUUUUCUGAUGUUUCAUAUUUUAUUUUGUAUUGUUUUGUAUCCGAUUGUGCUGUAAGCCGCCCCGAGUCCCCUUCGGGGGAGAUGGAGGCGGGAUAUAAAUAAACUUAUUAUUAUUAUUAUUAUUAUUAUUAUUAUUAUUAUUAUUAUUAUUAUUAUUAUUAUUAUUACCAUGCGGAGGAGCAUUGCCGUCCAUAGACGUCCUCCUGAUAGAAUCGUCAGCAUGACCUUAUGUGUGCCUUUAUUACCUCCCCGCUUAAAGUGGUACCUAUUUAUCUACUCACAUUUCUGUUUUCAAUCUGCUAGGUGGGCAGGGAGCUGGGGCUGAUGGCUGGUACUCACACUGACCUGGGCUUGAACUGACAACCUUUUGAUUGGCCUGGACCAAGGCAGUACGCUGCUGUGAAUAUAUCCUUCCACUACACUGCAGCCAGCAAAACCUUUGGGGAGGUGUAAGUGAGAGUGGAUCCUCCAAAAGGAAAGGAUGGCCAAAAGCCUCAGGAGGAACAGGCACGUCUGUUGCUGCAGCCCUCUGUCCCUGCCACCUCUGAAUGGGAGAAGGUGGAAUAGAUUGACCAGGAGCUACUGUACAAGUUUAAAUAAAAAAGGUGCAGUCAACUUUAGCAUGCAAGAUCUUGUUGGAGACUACACCUCUUGGAACCCCUAACCAUAGACCAUUCUGACUGAGGCUGAUGGAUGCUGCAGGUAAUCUGAAGGGCUGCAAUUGCCCACUUCUACUUAAUGCCCCUGGAUGAGAAGGUGAAUUAUGAACAUAUGAACUUCAGACCUACCAUUUGGCACAAUGGGGCAACUCCCUCAAGCAGUGGAUGCUGAUAGUUUGCGUAUAUUUGUAUGUGCAAAGGCUACUUCCUAUUAAAUAUGACCUACA